UAACGCGAAGAACCUUACCAGGUCUUGACAUCCUUUGACCACUCUAGAGAUAGAGCUUCCCCUUCGGGGGCAAAGUGACAGGUGGUGCAUGGUUGUCGUCAGCUCGUGUCGUGAGAUGUUGGGUUAAGUCCCGCAACGAGCGCAACCCUUAUUGUUAGUUGCCAUCAUUCAGUUGGGCACUCUAGCAAGACUGCCGGUGACAAACCGGAGGAAGGUGGGGAUGACGUCAAAUCAUCAUGCCCCUUAUGACCUGGGCUACACACGUGCUACAAUGGGAAGUACAACGAGUCGCGAAGUCGCGAGGCUAAGCUAAUCUCUUAAAGCUUCUCUCAGUUCGGAUUGCAGGCUGCAACUCGCCUGCAUGAAGCCGGAAUCGCUAGUAAUCGCGGAUCAGCACGCCGCGGUGAAUACGUUCCCGGGUCUUGUACACACCGA
rnacentral:rRNA from 1 species